AUAAGGAGAAUAGAUAAUGUUAUCCCUCUAUAAGUAUAAUUAAAGGGAUUAACAAAAUUUUAUAUAUUAUAUGCAAAGGAGAAAAAAUAUGGCUAAUAAUCACAUGUUGAUUUAUGCUAUGAUCAUAUGUCUUUUCCCGUAUCUUGUAGUAACCUUUAAGACUGCAAUUACAUGCGAUUGUAACGAAGACUGUCUAAAUUUUUUUACACCUCUUGAUAAUUUGAAGUGCAUUGAUAAUGUUUGUGAGGUCUUCAUGUAAGGUUAUAAUUGUAUUUGUACUUUUAUAUUUUACUUUAAAAUUUAAUUUAUAUUUCUCUAGCCCUUCAGUUUUUAUAACAAGCUCUACAAUGUAUCAUUAUAUUAUGGUAGUAUUUGUACCUUAGUUUUCUCAUAGAUGAAAUCACAAACAACACCAUCCCUAAAUAAUAUAUAGUAAUAAUAAGAUACUAUUAUAAAGUAUCUCUUCCAUUAUGUAGAUUGAUUAUUUAUUCUUCUUUUACAUGUAGUAUGUAUUUAAAACAAAUCAUUGAAAAAAGC